GUUGGCGGGCUUGCCCGUCAGUGGCGCAGCUAACGCUUUAAGCAUUCCGCCUGGGGAGUACGGUCGCAAGAUUAAAACUCAAAGGAAUUGACGGGGGCCCGCACAAGCGGUGGGGCAUGUGGUUCAAUUCGACGCAACGCGAARAACCUUACCAGCCCUUGACAUGUCCAGGACCGGUCGCAGAGAUGUGACCUUCUCUUCGGAGCCUGGAGCACAGGUGCUGCAUGGCUGUCGUCAGCUCGUGUCGKGAGAUGUUGGGUUAAGUCCCGCAACGAGCGCAACCCUCGCCCUUAGUUGCCAUCAUUUAGUUGGGCACUCUAAGGGGACUGCCGGUGAUAAGCCGGAGGAAGGUGGGGAUGACGUCAAGUCCUCAUGGCCCUUACACG
rnacentral:rRNA from 2 species